CGCAAGACCCCGUCACCCCGGUGGGGUCGGUCGUGAGGACCCGGCUGCUCGCGGUUAAGAGCUCCACCAUCACUAUCGCCUCUGCCGCCGUCCGUCGUCAGCUUCUUCCGCUGCCGCCGCCGCCAUCACCGUCGCCUCCGCAUCCGCUGCCGAUGCCAGCAUCCGCCGCCGCCGAUCCGCCACCGUCGCCGCUGCUGUUCGUCGCCAAUGCCAUCUGCUCGUCGUCGCCACCACCACCGUCCGCCGUUGCCUACACCUCUAACGCCGCCCCCGCAGCCACCGGCGCCGCGCAGUCACCUGCCGCUGCCGCCAGCAUUCCAUUCCCCUCCGGUUCUGCCGCCGUCGGUGCCCUUCCGCCAUCGCCCCCCACCGCCGCCGCCGGUGCCCCACUGCCGUGACCGGGCCGUCGAUUCCGCUGCCUUCGGGCGGGUAUUUUCCCAUUUAGGGCUUAAUCGCCCUGAUUCGCGGAUACUGACUGCGGGCCCCAACGGUUCAGAUCAUCCCUGAAGACCCCGGUUGCGUAAUUAUUUCUCUCUCCUUUUCUUUCUCUUUCUCAUUCUCUUGAUGUGUACCUAUCCCUCUUAACUCUCCGUGGACAGCCAUGAAGAGUUCGUCUGUUAUCUCUCUCAGGUGUUCGUACAUAUAUUUUGUGUGGCGG
rnacentral:lncRNA from 1 species